UACAGAGGGGGGCAAGCGUUGUUCGGAAUUACUGGGCGUAAAGGGCGCGUAGGCGGCCUUCUAAGUCGAACGUGAAAUCCCUGGGCUCAACCCAGGAACUGCGUCCGAUACUGGAAGGCUUGAAUCCGGGAGAGGGAUGCGGAAUUCCAGGUGUAGCGGUGAAAUGCGUAGAUAUCGGGAGGAACACCAGUGGCGAAGGCGACUUCCUGGCCUGUUCUUGACGCUGAGGCGCGAAAGCUAGGGUAGCAAACGGG
rnacentral:rRNA from 1 species